ACUUGCUGUAGUAAAGUUGAAAAUAAAUUUAACUACAAGUUUGAUUGUUAACUUGUAUUCAAGUUGCGGCAAUUUGCUUACAACUGUUGUUGCGUGAAGAAUUACCGCCAACUUGAUGUAUAAAUUAACCAUAACUGCUGGAAGUCAACACUUACUGAGAAAGCGCUGGCUAUCAGGGUAAUUUUUGUCUUUGUCUUUA